AGCGCCAGCCUCACGCUCGUCAUCGGCGGCCGGCACGCACCAAAACCGCACGAUCGGCUGGAUUAUCAGGCGAGGAAGGAGACAUUUUCCACCCACGAUGACGAUGCACUCAUUACAUCUGCAUGCAUGCCCUCUAUUUUUGUAUCGAAAAAAACUUUCCGUUUUGCUAGUAUUUAUUGCGUAUGUUUGGAUGCUCGCUUUUUGUUUGGGAAAAUGACAUCUACAUAUACUGCCGUGUGGCAUGGCCCAUGUGAUGCGAGAGAGCAAAGGUCUUGUACGAUACUCCAGCACUUGCUGUUACCAACAACAAGCUUCGAGUUCGAGCACUCACCGAUUUCGCCACUUCUAUGCCCAUCUGAUGCGGGGUGUAGUCGAGCCAUGACGACGUACUGUGUUUAAACAGAAACUGAAAAUAGGCAGGCAGGCAGGCAGGCAGGACACGUAUGUUUUGCACCACACGGCGACGAACCUUUUUCAGUUUCUACUGCUCGCUGUCGCCGUCGACGCAAAACCGUGAAUCGUGCCGUGCGGCCUGCACCGGCACCGAAAUGGAAAGCCAACCGCCGGCGCCGUGCACGGCGUCGUCGUCACUCGUCACUGCCCGCCGCUCACGAGGUGGCCCCGACGGCCCAGCCCAUAACACGUGCGGACCAUCUACGGCCUAAGCCCACCCAAACUGGCCCGGGCCUUCUCUCCGUCCCCGACGCCGCCACGCCAGGCUCUGCUACCCGCAGACCCUGGCCGGAGCGGACCACCGGCCGUCCGCCAACUCCGGCGAUAAAUUCUCGCUCAGAGACCGCCGCUUCCGUGGUCGCCGUCAUCAAUCUGCGGUGGGUUACUGGAGGCAGCAGGUGUGUCCACUUGGAAUUGGAAGAAACGCAUGGCUUGUCAGGCUACGGUAUCAAAUGAAAUAGGCCUGGCCGUCAUAUUCGACUUCGACGACAAAACUGUGGCGGUAACAAUCCGGAAGUGCGGCAUCUUUGGCAUGUUUGCCCUUCGUUCCUCAUAGGGAUGGCCUGAUGCUGAUGCAAGCUGGUGGCAGAAUCUAACAAGAGGCGGAAAAAAAAGAGAUUAAAAUGAACUGCCACAUUAUCUUGUCAGGUGAGCCGAGGAGAGUGAGUGGUAUGUGUAGCUUCAACUGCUCAAAUACACUAGGCCGCUGACCACAACAUAGCAGCUCACCAAACCCAGGGCAAAAGAAAGCAAAAGCUGUAUGCGUGCCCUUGGUCAAGGGAAAGCUUUUGCAUCCAUGUCUCGUCUCCUCUGCUCCACGAAUGAAUUGAGCAGGUUUAACUAACAAUUCAACAUGCUUCGAUCUUGUUUUUCCUGCUACUUUGUUCUCUUGCAAUCAUCAUCUGCGAGACCCAUGUUUUAUAGUUGGAGGCUUAUAUUUGAUUAAUAAGAGAAUAAGAAUGGAUUGAUAUU